rnacentral:snRNA from 1 species
AUACUUAUCUGGCAGAGGAGUCCCCAUGAUCAUGAAGAUAGUUUUGCUGGGGUGAGGCUUAUCCAUUGCACUCUGGGUGUUUUGACCCCUACAGUUUCACCAAAUGUGCUUAAUUUGUGGUAGUGGGGACUGUGUUUCUUCUUUCCUAU